rnacentral:tRNA from 1 species
GGGGAUUUAGCUCAGUGGUAGAGCACUUGCCUAGCAAGCCGAAGGCCCUGGGUUCGGUCCCCAGCUCCG